rnacentral:tRNA from 1 species
AGCCCCGUAGUCUAGUGGCCAAACCCUUCUGCGCACGUUGCACGGAAACACGGCGUGUUUCCGGCAUGCCGCGCAAAAGCGUUUACGGAAGCCCGCUUCCGCAACGGUUACACAAAAGGAUAACUGGCUCUGAACCAGUGGACGGAGGUUCGAAGAACCCUUUCGAGCCAAAGACAAUAUGUAAACGCUCGAAAGCGUUCAUGGAAUUACGCCUUCCGGCAACGGAUGCGCGCAACAGAAAAUCCUCCCGGGGCUACCA